AAAUCGUGUUGUAGGCAUGAAUUGAUAAGAUCCUUGAACCAAUCCCAACAUUGGAAGAAUGUUUCAUCUUUCUUUUGGGUGAAGUUCAUGAAUAAUUUUCUGAUGGU